GAGUUUGAUCCUGGCUCAGAACGAACGCUGGCGGCGUGCCUAACACAUGCAAGUCGAACGUGAUCCAGAGCUUGCUUUGGUGAAAGUGGCGCACGGGUGAGUAACGCGUGGAUAACCUACCCUGGUAUCCGGGAUAACAUUCCGAAAGGGGUGCUAAUACCGGAUAAGCCCACGGGCUCUUUGGAGCUUGCGGGAAAAGGUGGCCUCUAUUUAUAAGCUACUGUAUCAGGAUGGGUCCGCGUACCAUUAGCUAGUUGGCGGUGUAACGGACCACCAAGGCGACGAUGGUUAGCUGGUCUGAGAGGAUGAUCAGCCACACUGGAACUGAGACACGGUCCAGACUCCUACGGGAGGCAGCAGUGGGGAAUUUUGCGCAAUGGGGGAAACCCUGACGCAGCAACGCCGCGUGAGUGAUGAAGGCCUUUGGGUCGUAAAGCUCUGUCAGAGGGGAAGAAAUGAUAUAGUGCUAAUACCACUUUAUCUUGACGGUACCCUCAAAGGAAGCACCGGCUAACUCCGUGCCAGCAGCCGCGGUAAUAC
rnacentral:rRNA from 1 species